GCCGCCCAGGUCCCCCCGGGCGUCGAUGAAUGUGGGGUACCAUUCCUUGAUGAUGUGGUCAUGUUUGUAGUCGGCCUUAUUGUCCUUUAGAUGUUCCACGGUGUUCCGCUCGCUCUUCUCAUAGGCCUCCCGGGGCUUCCGGACAGACACCUUGCAUUCUCGGACCUUGUUGACGAUGAAUUCUUGGAUGAGAAACCUGAUAUCUUCCAUGAGGCAGUCAUCAUAAAGAAGUCUGAAUAUCUUGGUUGAGAGCUAGACUUUGGAAACAGAGAGACCCUGUAUAAUAACAGACUAAGAAGUAAGGAAGACAAGCCCAGCCAGUCCCACAACUAUUUCAUUAAUACCAGGUAAAGCAACAGACCUGCCAGUGAAGCAUCUUGGAUCCUUUAGCUUUAGGAAAUCUACUCCAGUCCUGUCCUGUGGAAACUAAUGGGAGUGCCAGGAGGCCUAACCAUCUGAGGUGAAUUGAAAAGAAAAAGCAGCGUGCUGAUUGCAGUGACUGGUGCAUGGAUCUCGAUGGCUACUCUGUACUGUAGGCAGUGAUGACACCCUGUUGAGGAGAUUGGUAGGAGCCAUAGCAACACAGGAGGCACAAUUUUAGGGAUGGUUUACAUUCCUAGCUGGAGUUUCCACAAAGCCCAGGUGCUUGCAUAGAGCCUUACCCUUGCCUAUAAACAACUACAUGGUUUAGUGUCCCCGUAAAAUUUCCCUAGAAUGGGAAAUAAUGUCAGGGCAGCAAUACAG
rnacentral:lncRNA from 10 species